rnacentral:rRNA from 1 species
AUGGAUUGUGGCCUCUCUGACUUGGGUUUCUCGGGGCCAAGAUUUACGUGGUGCAAUAAACAGGAUCAGAGUACUCAUGUCAAGUGCCGCCUUGACAGGGCUAUGGCUAAUGGUGCCUUCACGAUCUUAUUCCAGGAGUGUGGGGUUGAGAAUCUCAUCGCUACAUCAUCCGAUCACUAUCUGGUCCUUGUUUUGCUGGACUAUAGGGCUGCUCAUGAUCAACGUCCUCCUGUACAGCAGGGCUUUCGGUUUGAGGCAAUGUGGCUUUGUGCAGAGGACUACAAGGAAUCCCUUGAACGUGCAUGGUCAGAGGGGCGUGAUGGCAGCCCCUCCCUAGAAUCUACUUGGUCUAACCUGCAACACGUCGCGGGUUCUCUGCGGGCAUGGAGUAAAGAGGCGUUUGGCAAUUUUCGGAAAAGGAUUGGGAAGCUGAAACGCCGUCUGGCCACAAUCAGGUCACUACCUCCAUCUGAUGCGUCUCUGGACGAGGAGCGGUCCAUCGAGGGACGGCUGUGUGAGCUCUUCGAGCGGGAGGAGGUCAUGGAGCGCCAGCGGUCACGUGUUGAUUGGCUGAAGGCCGACGAUCGCAACACGGAGUUUUUCCAUGCCAGGGCGUCGGCCCGCCGACGCACGAACAGGAUUCAUUCGCUGGCCCGGGAGGAUGGCUCCUUCUGUUCUGCCCAGGGUGAAAUCAAGGGUAUGGUGCAUCGUUUCUAUGAGAAGUUAUUCACUUCUGAACCAUGCCAGGGCGCGGAUGAUGUUGUGGAUGCUAUCCCUCAUAAAAUC